ACGGAGGGUGCAAGCGUUAAUCGGAAUUACUGGGCGUAAAGCGCACGCAGGCGGUUUGUUAAGCUAGAUGUGAAAGCCCCGCGCUCAACGUGGGACGGUCAUUUAGAACUGGCAGACUAGAGUUUUGGAGAGGGGAGUGGAAUUCCAGGUGUAGCGGUGAAAUGCGUAGAUAUCUGGAGGAACAUCAGUGGCGAAGGCGACUCUCUGGCCAAGAACUGACGCUCAUGUGCGAAAGUGUGGGUAGCGAACAGG
rnacentral:rRNA from 1 species